CUAAGCUUCUCUUGAUUUUAUCAGAAACACUGUCUGCUCCCAAGAAUUUAUGUUCUCUAACAAUCUCCUGUUUUCUAACCAACUGCCCCAGAAAAUUAUUUUUCUUGCCUGACUAACAACCCAAAUGGAACAACAUUGUUGUUACUGAACUUUCAAAGAAAGUUGCUGACCUGAAUUGCAGCCAGGAUGGAAAAUUGCUAUGACUAAAGCCAUCUGUCUUGCAACCCUAUAAAUAGUGGUCCUUAAGUGAUACCCUUUGAGCUCUCCUAGACCACAGUGGGCUGUGGCCAGCAAUCUCACUCUGAGUGGCACAUCUUUCAGAGCCAGAGAACUCUCAUUUGCUGUACUUGAAGAACUGCUGCCGAACACCGACAACGGAGCCUCACUCGUCAAGGCUCAACCCUUCACCUAUUGAGAAGAUGCAAAGACAUCCAACAUGAGUACUUCACUGAACUUGAGGGGAAUUUUUCACAGACACUCACAUGGAGUAAGCAGCAACACAUGACGCUCAUCUUUUAAAUGGCUGGGUCAACUGUUGCUGUGUGGCAUGAUCUGCAGAGAACUGAUGGCACAUUUCUUAUGCCUGAAGCCUGUCAAAGCAGAGUGAGAACUUCAGCCAUAGCCUCACACCAGGCAGUCCCAGUAGCAGUAGGGGCGCUGAAACUGCCAAGAAUAUUAAAUGCUCAAAAGCUGUGAUUGGCAUUUUGAAGGAGCACAGCUUCAAAAAUACUGAAAAGUACUUGCAAAAGUGUCCUAGUCACUUUUAAGCUUAAGUCUCAUCUAAACAAUUUUUACUAUUUUUUGAAAAGAAAAAUUUCUUAUGUUAGUGUCUCAGUAAGAUUUCCUAAAAGGUCCCAUUCCAGCACACACAUAGUUAUAUUUAACUUCCUGAAUACGUGGUUAAUCUUAAUUCAUAUUGACACUGACUCCUGCAUGUCAGGCCUUGAUGUUUUCAGGGUCCAGAGCUCCUUUUUGAAUUUGUAGAAUAAGUAUAAAUGAAAGAAGAAGGAGAAGGAUGAAAAUUACAAUACUAACUUGCUUAAAGGUAUUUAGUCCAACAUGAACAUUUUUAUCUUGUCACAAUUUCCAAUAUUUCAUUUUUGUUUACAUCUUCAAUCAAAGCUUAAAUCAAAAUAUCAGACUAGUCUUACCUGUACUGGUUUGUUUUGAAAAGUUUCACUUACAUAUUUCAUGGUUGAAAAUAAAAAUUAC